rnacentral:rRNA from 1 species
UACGGGGGGAGCAAGCGUUGUUCGGAUUUACUGGGCGUAAAGGGCGCGUAGGCGGCCAGCACAAGUCAGUUGUGAAAUCUCCGAGCUUAACUCGGAAAGGUCAACUGAUACUGUGCGGCUAGAGUGCGGAAGGGGCAACUGGAAUUCUUGGUGUAGCGGUGAAAUGCGUAGAUAUCAAGAGGAACACCUGAGGUGAAGACGGGUUGCUGGGCCAACACUGACGCUGAGGCGCGAAAGCCAGGGGAGCAAACGGG